CAUUUGGAGACCAGAAUAGAAAGGUAGGUCUCCAUGACUGCAAAGGUCAAAGGUUCAUUCUAGUGCAUUCCAUCACUGAAUACAAGGGAGACACAGAUUCUCAAGUGAAGUACAUAGUGAUAAUGAAUGGACAAACAGCAGAAGUUAGAAGUGCUAUGAAGUAACACUUAAGUCAGUAACUAUGGACAUCCAUGGCCAUGCUGGAAAUUGGUUCUCAUAAAUGUUAAUAUGGAGCCCAGACUAUCAGUGGUUGAAAGAUAAAUGGUUUUUCUCACAGUUCGAGGGGUUUCAAUCCUGCUUUUGGUUGUGCUAAUACCAUCAAAUCUGAUUUGAGUCUCCAAAGCCUUGACCCAGAAGCGGAUCAAAGCAGAAACAGGCACCCACAGCUAAACACUGAGCUGCACACUCCUGGAAUAAAGUUAUGGAGAGGAAGGAGAGAUGACCAAAUGAACCAAGACAGAACUGGAGACACCUGCAGGAACAGUUGACCUGACCUAAUGAGAGCACGGAGACCCUAAUCAUAAAGUGAGGGAACCAGCAUUUAACAGAACCAAGCCCUCUGAAUGUGGGUACCAGCUAGGAGGCCAAGGCAGUCUAUGGAACCUCUAACAGUGGAGCCAGGGCUUAUUCCUAGGUCACAAAUAGACUUUGGGAGCCCACUGCAUAUGGAGGGUUACUAUUACAGCCCAAUGGCCUGCAAUACAGAAAGGAUGGCCUGAGCCCUCCCCCAAAUGAUGUGAUGGACUUUGAUGAUGCCCCGUGGAGGGUCUCACUAU